GAGACAUAGAGAGAAAAUUGUCAUCUACAAGCCAAGGAGUGAGGCCUCAGAAGGAACCAACCCUGGUGACACAUUGAUCUCAGACUUCUAGCUUCCAGUUCUCUUGUUCAAGCCACCUAGUCUGUGGUACUUUGUUAUGGAGCCCGUAGUAAACUAAUACAGAAGACAAAAUUCCCUGCUGUUCCUUAAUUCUUCCACUAUAACUUGUGUGUAUUUCUUUAUAAUUCUAUCUUAAACAACAUAUUUCUUGAUUUUGCCUGUUUAUAAACUUUACAUAAAUUGAACAAUGCUGUGUGUAUUCUCCUGUGACUUGCCUUUUCUUUUCAACGUUCUAUUCACAUUUAUCCAUAUUGAUGUGUGAGCUGUAGCUUAUUUGUAUUCACUGCUGUAUGGCAUUCCAUUGUGUGGAUAUUCCACAAAUUACCUCUUUUACUUGUGAUGGACAUUUGGGUUGUUCAUAUUUUCACAUGUCUCUGGGUAUACAUGUGCAAGAGUUUCUGUAGGCUAUGUAGCUAAGGGUAAAAUUUGUGAACUUUAGGGUAUAUACAAUUUCAGUUUCCUAGGUAAUGACAAAUUAUUUCUCAAAAUGAUUGUACCAGUUCAC
rnacentral:lncRNA from 10 species